GAAACCCGGUGAUCUAGCCAUGGGCAGGUUGAAGGUUGGGUAACACUAACUGGAGGACCGAACCGACUAAUGUUGAAAAAUUAGCGGAUGACUUGUGGCUGGGGGUGAAAGGCCAAUCAAACCGGGAGAUAGCUGGUUCUCCCCGAAAGCUAUUUAGGUAGCGCCUCGUGAAUUCAUCUCCGGGGGUAGAGCACUGUUUCGGCAAGGGGGUCAUCCCGACUUACCAACCCGAUGCAAACUGCGAAUACCGGAGAAUGUUAUCACGGGAGACACACGGCGGGUGCUAACGUCCGUCGUGAAGAGGGAAACAACCCAGACCGCCAGCUAAGGUCCCAAAGUCAUGGUUAAGUGGGAAACGAUGUGGGAAGGCCCAGACAGCCAGGAUGUUGGCUUAGAAGCAGCCAUCAUUUAAAGAAAGCGUAAUAGCUCACUGGUCGAGUCGGCCUGCGCGGAAGAUGUAACGGGGCUAAACCAUGCACCGAAGCUGCGGCAGCGACGCUGAUGCGUUGUUGGGUAGGGGAGCGUUCUGUAAGCCUGCGAAGGUGUGCUGUGAGGCAUGCUGGAGGUAUCAGAAGUGCGAAUGCUGACAUAAGUAACGAUAAAGCGGGUGAAAAGCCCGCUCGCCGGAAGACCAAGGGUUCCUGUCCAACGUUAAUCGGGGCAGGGUGAGUCGACCCCUAAGGCGAGGCCGAAAGGCGUAGUCGAUGGGAAACAGGUUAAUAUUCCUGUACUUGGUGUUACUGCGAAGGGGGGACGGAGAAGGCUAUGUUGGCCGGGCGACGGUUGUCCCGGUUUAAGCGUGUAGGCUGGUUUUCCAGGCAAAUCCGGAAAACUAAGGCUGAGGCGUGAUGACGAGGCACUACGGUGCUGAAGCAACAAAUGCCCUGCUUCCAGGAAAAGCCUCUAAGCAUCAGGUAACAUCAAAUCGUACCCCAAACCGACACAGGUGGUCAGGUAGAGAAUACCAAGGCGCUUGAGAGAACUCGGGUGAAGGAACUAGGCAAAAUGGUGCCGUAACUUCGGGAGAAGGCACGCUGAUAUGUAGGUGAAGUCCCUCGCGGAUGGAGCUGAAAUCAGUCGAAGAUACCAGCUGGCUGCAACUGUUUAUUAAAAACACAGCACUGUGCAAACACGAAAGUGGACGUAUACGGUGUGACGCCUGCCCGGUGCCGGAAGGUUAAUUGAUGGGGUUAGCGCAAGCGAAGCUCUUGAUCGAAGCCCCGGUAAACGGCGGCCGUAACUAUAACGGUCCUAAGGUAGCGAAAUUCCUUGUCGGGUAAGUUCCGACCUGCACGAAUGGCGUAAUGAUGGCCAGGCUGUCUCCACCCGAGACUCAGUGAAAUUGAACUCGCUGUGAAGAUGCAGUGUACCCGCGGCAAGACGGAAAGACCCCGUGAACCUUUACUAUAGCUUGACACUGAACAUUGAGCCUUGAUGUGUAGGAUAGGUGGGAGGCUUUGAAGUGUGGACGCCAGUCUGCAUGGAGCCGACCUUGAAAUACCACCCUUUAAUGUUUGAUGUUCUAACGUUGACCCGUAAUCCGGGUUGCGGACAGUGUCUGGUGGGUAGUUUGACUGGGGCGGUCUCCUCCUAAAGAGUAACGGAGGAGCACGAAGGUUGGCUAAUCCUGGUCGGACAUCAGGAGGUUAGUGCAAUGGCAUAAGCCAGCUUGACUGCGAGCGUGACGGCGCGAGCAGGUGCGAAAGCAGGUCAUAGUGAUCCGGUGGUUCUGAAUGGAAGGGCCAUCGCUCAACGGAUAAAAGGUACUCCGGGGAUAACAGGCUGAUACCGCCCAAGAGUUCAUAUCGACGGCGGUGUUUGGCACCUCGAUGUCGGCUCAUCACAUCCUGGGGCUGAAGUAGGUCCCAAGGGUAUGGCUGUUCGCCAUUUAAAGUGGUACGCGAGCUGGGUUUAGAACGUCGUGAGACAGUUCGGUCCCUAUCUGCCGUGGGCGCUGGAGAACUGAGGGGGGCUGCUCCUAGUACGAGAGGACCGGAGUGGACGCAUCACUGGUGUUCGGGUUGUCAUGCCAAUGGCACUGCCCGGUAGCUAAAUGCGGAAGAGAUAAGUGCUGAAAGCAUCUAAGCACGAAACUUGCCCCGAGAUGAGUUCUCCCUGACUCCUUGAGAGUCCUGAAGGAACGUUGAAGACGACGACGUUGAUAGGCCGGGUGUGUAAGCGCAGCGAUGCGUUGAGCUAACCGGUACUAAUGAACCGUGAGGCUUAACCUUACAACGCCGAAG
rnacentral:rRNA from 1 species